AAUCAACGCUGGCGGCGUGCCUCAGACAUGCAAGUCGAACGAUUAAAGCUCUCUUCGGAGAGUGCAUAGAGUGGCGCACGGGUGAGUAACACGUAAGUAAUCUACCUUCGAGUGGGGAAUAACGUCCGGAAACGGACGCUAAUACCGCAUAAUGCAGCGGCAUCGUAAGAUGACAGUUGUUAAAGAUUUAUCGCUUGAAGAGGAGCUUGCGGCAGAUUAGCUAGUUGGUAAGGUAAUGGCUUACCAAGGCUACGAUCUGUAACCGGUCUUAGAGGACGGUCGGUCACACUGACACUGAAUAACGGGUCAGACUCCUACGGGAGGCAGCAGUCGGGAAUUUUGGGGCAAUGGGCGAAAGCCUGACCCAGCAAAACGCCGCGUG
rnacentral:rRNA from 1 species